GUGCCCGGCGCGGGGAGUUGAUGAUUAACCUGCGGGCCAUUGAGUGCCUGCCUAAAGUCGCGCCCAGGGUGGGGUUUAACCUUGUCCGGGGCUCGGUGCCUCCCGUGUGACUGCCCGAGACCCUGGGGCGGCCAGUUCUGCUGCUGCCGCCGAAGCGCUACAGGGAUGCGCAGCUCCCUGUUGAAAAUCUCUGCUCUAAAUCUCAGCCUAGAGCGCGCCUCGCAGUCGUUUUUGGAAGUUUCAGGUUCAAGAGGUCGAGGUGAUGUGGGGGUCUCGGCGAGCGUGUGUGCAGCAGCAGCCUCGGGCUGCAGGAGCGUUUGUGGCUGGCGCUUGAAUCCCUGCCGGCCCCUUUUCCUCGGGCUGAGCCGCAAGGAGCUCACAGCUGCGGCAUUUAGUUCAAUUACUUCAGAUGAUCUGUAAAUUUUCAAUAAUGGCAAUACAUUCAUUCUGCCAUUUGGAGGAGCCUGUGCCACAGAAUAAUGAUCUGAGGAAAGCUCACUCAUUUGCAAGGAAGAGUCUUCAUUUGGGAAUUAGCACUGAUGCAGCUCAAGGGUGCUUUUUCAAGUCCAGACUCUUUCAGCAGAACUGUUAUUUUCCUAACACAACCUCUGGUACAAGGAUAAAACUGGGUUUUUGUCAAAGAACAGAGUCCUGUAACUGAAGAUUAAGAAGGUCCUUGACAUUCAGUGGGAUGAGAAUCUCAGAACUGACUACUGGGGACUCCCAGGCUACAGAUCAGAAACCGUUUUGGUAGGUGUGGGUUGCUUGUCAGAAAUCCGUUCCGAAGCUUGAGUGCAAAGGAAGCAGGGUACUAAUGAUGAAUAAGAAUGGAUAUCUUGAGGAUAACAAUGGAUAUGGCAUCUUCAAAAGCAGUGGCAUUCUGGUCCUAGUCCUGUAACUGGAUUUGUUCAAAUGGACCUCAAGAGCCUGGGGGCCUGAUGAAGUCCAGGGGACUCUGGUGACUGCAGGUUCUCACUCUGAAGAUCUGAUUGUAGGCCUGAACCUUAAUUUCUAUUUUGUUUUCCUGUCUGUUUGCUUCUUAAAUGAUGAAAAUUAUCCUUUGAAAUGGUGUUGUCUUUGAGUCUCAUGCACAUCCACUUUAGUAGUGUUCAGACACUGUGUGUUUGGGAUGUUGUCAGACAUUGUUAAAAUAUUUCUGUUCUGUUGUGUGCCUAAACCUCCUGAUUGCUCUGAUUAUUGUAUUAGAUUUUUCUGUUUAGUGCCUUUCUACCUAAAAUAGAGAAGAUCAUCACCUGUGUUUUCAGUCGUGAUAUUUCUCUUAACUCAAAUUUUUAAGUCAGAGUAACUGUUGAAACUGUUCAGUUAUUUUUAAAGAUACAGGUAGAUUUGUUUAUUUCUUGCUGAACUCAAAGUAUAAUAUUUUAUUUUGCAAACUUGGUAGCCUAGUAUUACUAAAAGCUUACAGUACGAUGAUACUCUGAUGUAAUAAAAUAAGUAGGAAAUGACCCGUUACUAGCUCUCCUGUUGCUUUUCUAUUCCUGUGGCUGUGGUUACACAACAUUCGACUGAAAGUGAAGAUAUUUUUACUUUUUGAGCCAGUGUAUACCUUUUGUUGACAAUAAGUGCUGUUCCCUGUCCUAUUCCAUAUUGCAGUUUCACUGAAUAGCCUUGGUAGAAGCUGUAGAAAGGACUUUGAAAAAUCACAUGUAGAGUGUGAUCACAAAUAGAGUGUGAGAGAAAAAACAGAUGUGUUCUAUCUCUAUACAUGUUAGUAUUUAUGUUCUAUAUAUUUUUAAAGCAAGUGUGUAGCAGUGUAGGAUAAUUAAGAGGUCCAAAAGAUCCAAAACAUCCUUUCCAUACAGAGAAUCAGACAAACAUUUUUGGUUUUUGUAGGCUAAUUACAAUGAUAUUAAGGAGCUUCACAGAAUUUGAUUAAUUUUUGCAUAUUCCCUGAACAGAAAAGCACCAUUGUCCUGUUAGACCAAGGAGAAAACUGAGCCACUUGUUUAGUCAGUGGUAAAGUCAAUCAUAUUAAAUGGAUUCUCCUGCCUUUUAACCUUGUGCCUCUGACUCCAUUUUUCCCUCAAGACCAAAACCUUCCAUUGCCAUCAUCUGCUUUGCAUUUCUACGUGAAAGGCCCAAGGUGUUUGUGUUUGGACCCCCAGAAAAUGAGGAAGACAAGGUUGGUUGGCCACCUGCCAGGGCACGAGGUCUGACUCGCUCCUCGCUGCCGGGGGCUGCUGGUGAGGGCAGAGGCAGAACUGAGCGUUCUGUGUGGCGUUCAACUGCCUUAACCACAUGCCCAUCGCUCUCUUCCUGUAGUUGUCUGUCUUGUUCUCAGCAGAACUCCUAAAGACAACAUGUAUACCAACCAAUAAAUAAUCCAAUUUGAUGCACAGCCCUGAUUCACUUCCUGAGCUGUGUCCUGCACACACAGAGUGGCUGCAGUCCCAUGGAAAAAUUCAGCACAGUGCACAAGGCCAAAGAGUAAGGCUGUUAAGCGUCUUUAAACUUUGCAAUGAAGCAGUGUUCUUUUAAUGUCACUUAUUAUAGCCAUAGCUCAAAGUAUUUUUAACAAGAAACAAGAGGGAAAUGAAAGCUUUUAGAACUGAUUGUAACCAAUUCCCUGUGUAGCCUGUGAAUGUGAAUAUCCAGCUCAGUGAAACACAGAAUGUCAGCCGAUGGGAGGAGGCUGGCUACCUCCAGGGAGGAAGGGAAGGAAGAAGGAUGGGUGCUUAACACCAUGGCUGUAUCCAACUUGCUUCCAAGUCUCAGGGACUAUUUGUGAAAUGUUGACCCUAGCUCUUAGCUUUUGUUUUCUCUUCAGCAUUCCCAGCCCAAAAAUUAGCUCCUCCAGAGCUUCUCAGUGCAAUAGACAUUGGGAGUGUUGCUGUAGUCUGCUAAUCAUUUAAAUGAAGAAAAAGAAAUCAAGGAUGGGCUUUUCUCCUACGUUUUCUUGUUGAAAAAUAAGAGGAGAUGCUCUCAGUUCUCUCCACAAUGAAUUUCAGGGGCUAUGCUUCUGAUCCUUGAUCUCACAAAUAGAUGGCAAAAACUUUAAUAAUAGAAAAUUUUGCUCUUGGUUUACCUCUUUAAUCUUCUUCUCAGUCAAAUUGUAGUGGCCUUUUGUGUUUGUAAGCUACCAAGGAUGUUGUGUAGGCUCCAGGGCCAGAGCAAUUGUGUUGAGAACACAAGCUCAUCUUGUUAUCUUUUAUGUUAGUAUUUGGUAGCAUAAUAAGUUUUUUUCAGAGAAACCUUGCCAGAUCAUGGUCUGAGUUUCAGUUUUUGUUAAUGUCUGCUUUAUCUAUGGAUAGUGCUUGAGAUUUGGUCACCAAGCCUAGUGAUUUGAUAUGAGGAAAACAAAACAACCUCAUACUUUGCUUUUGCAUGCUUUUCUCUGGGAUAUACAGUCUUUUCUUGCAAGUAAUGCAGCAAGUUCCUGUAAAAAGAGCUGGUGACAAUACUGUUAGGGAAAAUUUGUUCAACCCAUUCACUGAAAUUCAUAAAAAUCAAAAUACUUGCAAAAGUGUUCACUGGCAUUUUAUUGCAAAAUAAAAAUGAAAACCCUGA